rnacentral:rRNA from 1 species
GAUGAACGCUGGCGGCGUGCUUAACACAUGCAAGUCGAACGGAAAGGCCCAAGCUUGCUUGGGUACUCGAGUGGCGAACGGGUGAGUAACACGUGGGUGAUCUGCCCUGCACUUCGGGAUAAGCCUGGGAAACUGGGUCUAAUACCGGAUAGGACGAUGGUUUGGAUGCCAUUGUGGAAAGUUUUUUCGGUGUGGGAUGAGCUCGCGGCCUAUCAGCUUGUUGGUGGGGUAAUGGCCUACCAAGGCGUCGACGGGUAGCCGGCCUGAGAGGGUGUACGGCCACAUUGGGACUGAGAUACGGCCCAGACUCCUACGGGAGGCAGCAGUGGGGAAUAUUGCACAAUGGGCGCAAGCCUGAUGCAGCGACGCCGCGUGGGGGAUGACGGCCUUCGGGUUGUAAACUCCUUUCGCUAGGGACGAAGCGUUUUUGUGACGGUACCUGGAGAAGAAGCACCAGCUAACUACGUG